rnacentral:rRNA from 1 species
AGGCCGACAGGCGUAGUCGAUGGUUAACGGGUUGAUAUUCCCGUACCCGUAUGUGCGCGCCCAGUAUCGAAGCGGUGAGACUAACCACCCUGAUCUGCCGAUCGUUGCCAUCCCUUCGGGGAUGGUUGGUUGGUGGUGAUGCGUGGGGCCUGAUCCGUGGUAGGU